AGGACAAUUAUCAUGCAAGUCGAGCGCGGGAAGCGAGUGGAUCCCUUCGGGGUGAAGCUCGUGGAACGAGCGGCGGACGGGUGAGUAACACGUGGGCAACCUGCCUGUAAGACCGGAAUAACCCCGGGAAACCGGGGCUAAUGCCGGGUAAUACUUUUCUUCGCAUGAAGGAAAGUUGAAAGAUGGCUUCUUGCUAUCACUUACAGAUGGGCCCGCGGCGCAUUAGCUAGUUGGUGAGGUAACGGCUCACCAAGGCGACGAUGCGUAGCCGACCUGAGAGGGUGAUCGGCCACACUGGGACUGAGACACGGCCCAGACUCCUACGGGAGGCAGCAGUAGGGAAUCUUCCGCAAUGGACGAAAGUCUGACGGAGCAACGCCGCGUGAACGAUGAAGGUCUUCGGAUCGUAAAGUUCUGUUGUUAGGGAAGAACAAGUACCGUGCGAAUAGAGCGGUACCUUGACGGUACCUAACGAGGAAGCCCCGGCUAACUACGUGCCAGCAGCCGCGGUAAUACGUAGGGGGCAAGCGUUGUCCGGAAUUAUUGGGCGUAAAGCGCGCGCAGGCGGUUCCUUAAGUCUGAUGUGAAAGCCCACGGCUCAACCGUGGAGGGUCAUUGGAAACUGGGGAACUUGAGGACAGAAGAGGAGAGUGGAAUUCCACGUGUAGCGGUGAAAUGCGUAGAUAUGUGGAGGAACACCAGUGGCGAAGGCGACUCUCUGGUCUGUUUCUGACGCUGAGGUGCGAAAGCGUGGGUAGCAAACAGGAUUAGAUACCCUGGUAGUCCACGCCGUAAACGAUGAGUGCUAGGUGUUAGGGGGCUUCCACCCCUUAGUGCUGAAGUUNACNCA
rnacentral:rRNA from 1 species